UCCAUACACAAACCAUUGGAA
rnacentral:miRNA from 1 species